rnacentral:rRNA from 1 species
CCUACGGGUGGCAGCAGUGAGGAAUAUUGGUCAAUGGACGAGAGUCUGAACCAGCCAAGUAGCGUGAAGGAUGACUGCCCUAUGGGUUGUAAACUUCUUUUAUAUGGGAAUAAAAUGUUCCACGUGUGGGAUUUUGUACGUACCAUAUGAAUAAGGAUCGGCUAACUCCGUGCCAGCAGCCGCGGUAAUACGGAGGAUCCGAGCGUUAUCCGGAUUUAUUGGGUUUAAAGGGAGCGUAGGUGGAUUGUUAAGUCAGUUGUGAAAGUUUGCGGCUCAACCGUAAAAUUGCAGUUGAAACUGGCAGUCUUGAGUACAGUAGAGGUGAGCGGAAUUCGUGGUGUAGCGGUGAAAUGCUUAGAUAUCACGAAGAACUCCGAUUGCGAAGGCAGUUCACUGGACUGCAACUGACACUGAGGCUCGAAAGUGUGGGUAUCAAACAGGAUUAGAUACCCUUGUAGUC